ACAAACUUCAUAACCAAAUACAAUUUAAUCAACAGUGAACAGUACGGCUUUCAAAAAUUGAAAUCAACUUCUACAGCAAUUUUUUCGCUAACGCAUCAUGUUUUAAAUAGUGUGAAUGACGAUAAGUUGACUACUGCACUGUUUCUUGAUUUGUCGAAAGCAUUCGACCAUAUCUCCCAUGAGAAACUACUUACCAAAAUUCAUGAAGUUGGCAUUAGGGGGCCUGCGUACACAUGGCUUGCAUCAUACUUAUCAAACCGCAAACAGAAAGUAGUCAUUAGCGGAUUAACCAAAAAUAAAGAUCUUUUAUUUUACUCGUCUGACGAAAGACAAAACAAGAGUGGAGUCCCACAAGGGAGUGUAUUGGGACCCACCCUAUUCUUAUUAUACAUAAAUAAUUUAUCUGACGUAACAAAUCAUAAAUGUAUUCUAUUUGCUGAUGACAUUACAAUAAUUAUAACCACUGACAAAAAAAUAAAUACAAUUAAGGACCACGAAAUUGACAUAAACAAUACUUUACAUAAUACUAUCCAAUGGCUUGACAACAAUAAUUUGACAAUUAAUCUGAAUAAAACUAAUUACAUACAAUUUAAUCAAUCCAAACACUUACAAUAUAAUUUUAAUUUAAAUAUAAAUGUUGGAAAUGUAGCAAUCAAGAAGGCAUCCGAAACAAAAUUUUUAGGUAUAACAAUCGACCAAGACAUUAAUUGGAAGGCACAUGUAGAUGAUCUCUGUAUAAGAAUCAAUCGGUUUGUAUAUGCAUUGAAACAAGUUAGGAAAGUGACUAAUAUAUCAACAGCACUAGUGUCUUACCAUGCCUAUGUUGAAUCGAUUCUGCGCUACGGCCUCAUAGCGUGGGGAAAUAGUACAGAUUUUAAUAGAGCCUUCAUCGCGCAAAAAAAAUGUAUUAGAGCUAUAGCUGGGAUACCAUCCGACAAAUCGUGUAGACCCUUAUUUCUAGAGUUUGGUUUGUUACCAUUACCGUCUUUGUAUAUUUUAGAAAUAUGUACUUUUGUCAAGAAACAUUUUACGUUGUUCAAAAGAGUCUGCGAUAUAAAUUUGCGAACCCGUAGAGACCCAGAUAGACUUGUUCUGGAAGUCAUACCUAGAUCUGAGAAAUAUAACCGAAAUUGUGUAGCAAUGUGUGUUAGAAUAUAUAAUAAAAUACCAAAAAGUAUAAAAACAUUAAAUUCUAGCCAAUUUUCAAAUAAACUGCGUGGAUGGCUUAAAAGUAAAAACUAUUAUAGUGUCACAGAGUUCCUUAAUGACCGAGAGUUUUGAAUA